rnacentral:lncRNA from 1 species
AGAAAUCCAGUUUUACUAGGAUUAGUCCGUCUGCAAAGUUGCUAAUUACAGAAUUUGGAUUGGAUGCAUCAACACUGAAGGCAUCAGGUCCUCGAGGUACUCUGCUGAAAGGGGAUGUUUUAGCUGCAAUAAAGGCAGGAAUAGGAUCUUCAAGUUCUUCCUCAAAGGAUAAGAUGCCUCCACCUCCAGUUCACUCUCAAGCUUCUCCCUCAGCAUCACCAGAAAGGUCUCAUUUACAGCAAUCAGAAUCAUUUGAAGAUAUGCCCAAUAGCCAAAUACGCAAGGUA